AAAAGAAGUAGGUAGUUUAACCUUCGGGGGGACGCUUACCACUUUGUGGUUCAUGACUGGGGUGAAGUCGUAACAAGGUAGCGCUAGGGGAACCUGGCGCUGGAUCACCUCCUUAAACGAUGAU
rnacentral:rRNA from 1 species